AGAGUUUGAUCCUGGCUCAGAGCGAACGCUGGCGGCAGGCCUAACACAUGCAAGUCGAGCGGCCGUAGCAAUACGGCAGCGGCAGACGGGAGAGUAACACGUGGGAACGCGCCCUUCGGUUCGGAAUAACUCAGGGAAACUUGGGCUAAUACCGGAUACGCCCUUACGGGGAAAGAUUUAUUGCCGAAGGAACGGCCCGCGUCCGAUUAGCUUGUUGGUGAGGUAACGACUCACCAAGGCGACGAUCGGUAGCUGGUCUGAGAGGAUGACCAGCCUCACUGGGACUGAGACACGGCCCAGNACUCCUACGGGAGGCAGCAGUGGGGAAUAUUGGACAAUGGGCGCAAGCCUGAUCCAGCCAUGCCGCGUGGGUGAUGAAGGCCCUAGGGUUGUAAAGCCCUUUCGGCGGGGAAGAUAAUGACGGUACCCGCAGAAGAAGCCCCGGCUAACUUCGUGCCAGCAGCCGCGGUAAUACGAAGGGGGCUAGCGUUGCUCGGAAUUACUGGGCGUAAAGCGCACGUAGGCGGCUUCUUAAGUCGGUGGUGAAAUCCUGGAGCUCAACUCCAGAACUGCCUUCGAUACUGGGAAGCUCGAGUCCGGGAGAGGUGAGUGGAACUGCGAGUGUANAGGUGAAAUUCGUAGAUAUUCGCNAGAACACCAGUGGCGAAGGCGGCUCACUGGCCCGGUACUGACGCUGAGGUGCGAAAGCUUGGGGAGCA
rnacentral:rRNA from 1 species